rnacentral:rRNA from 1 species
AAUCAACGCUGGCGGCGUGCCUAACACAUGCAAGUCGAACGCGAAAAUUCCUUCGGGGAGUGAGUAGAGUGGCGUCCGGGUGAGUAACGCGUGGGUAAUCUGCCUUUGGGUGGGAAGUAACCCAGGAAACUUGGGCUAAUACCGCAUAAUGCAGCGGCUCGACAUCGAGACAGUUGUUAAAGCAGCAAUGCGCCUGAAGAGGAGCCUGCGUCUGAUUAGCUUGGGUUAGGGUAACGGCCUACCAAGGCUGCGAUCAGUAGCUGGUCUGAGAGGACGGCCAGCCACAAU